GAUGAACGCUGGCGGCGUGCCUAAUACAUGCAAGUCGAGCGAACGGACGAGAAGCUUGCUUCUCUGAUGUUAGCGGCGGACGGGUGAGUAACACGUGGAUAACCUACCUAUAAGACUGGGAUAAAUUCGGGAAACCGGAGCUAAUACCGGAUAAUAUUUUGAACCGCAUGGUUCAAAAGUGAAAGAAGGUCUUGCUGUCACUUAUAGAUGGAUCCGCGCUGCAUUAGCUAGUUGGUAAGGUAACGGCUUACCAAGGCAACGAUGCAUAGCCGACCUGAGAGGGUGAUCGGCCGCACUGGAACUGAGACACGGUCCAGACUCCUACGGGAGGCAGCAGUAGGGAAUCUUCCGCAAUGGGCGAAAGCCUGACGGAGCAACGCCGCGUGAGUGAUGAAGGUCUUCGGAUCGUAAAACUCUGUUAUUAGGGAAGAACAUAUGUGUAAGUAACUGUGCACAUCUUGACGGUACCUAAUCAGAAAGCCACGGCUAACUACGUG
rnacentral:rRNA from 1 species